rnacentral:rRNA from 1 species
AUGGCAGUGCAGAAACUCUUCCACAUCUCAAUUUUCCUGCUAGUAUGCACAGCCAAGGCAAUCAACCCCGAAGCUGAAGCACUACUCCGAUGGAAGUCCACUUUGAUUGGUGCCAACCCGUUGCCCUCGUGGUCAAUUGCCAACUCUACGUGCUCUUGGUCCGGCGUCACCUGUGACGCUGCCGGACAUGUUACCAAGCUCCACCUUUCCGGCUUUGGGCUCCAUGGUACGCUACACGCCUUCUACUCUGCUGCGUACCAGAAUCUCAUCAAGAUCAAACUCAACAGCAAUAAUCUUGUUGGCACCAUCCCGGCAAACAUAUCCCUUUUGCUCACGCUCACCAUUUUGGACUUGAGCAACAACAAUCUUGUCGGUGCCAUCCCCUACCAACUCAGCAAGCUACCAAUACUAGUCGAGGUUAAUCUGGGAAAUAACCAAUUGACUAGCCCAGAAUUUGACAAGUUCUUGCCUAUGUUCAGCUUGAAGCUAUUAUCUCUAGCUAACAAUAAUCUCAGUGGAACCUUCCCACAAUUCAUCCUCAACUACACCAAUGUGAGGAUGCAAUUCCUUGAUUUGUCAGGUAAUGACUUCUCAGGGCUGUUACCAGAUUCACUGCCGGAAAUGGUCCCAAGGUUGAGGUAUCUAGAUCUGUCAGCUAAUGGAUUCUCUAGCGUGAUACCUCGCUCACUCUCGAGGCUCCAGAAGCUUGAGAUACUGCUUCUCAACGAAAAUAAUCUUACAGGAGGGAUCCCAGAGGAGCUUGGGUUGGUACCUGGAUUGCGAGUUCUUUCACUGAGUGACAAUUCACUUGGUGGGUUCAUCCCAGCCUCACUUGGGCAGCUUCAGUUACUAGAGCAACUCAAUAUCAGAAAUGCUGGUUUGGUUUCUACUCUUCCACCCGAGUUGGGGAACCUUACUAAUCUCGGGCACUUGGAUCUGGCACAUAACCAGCUAUUUGGAAGUUUGCCACCAUCUUUGGCCAGGAUGCAAGGAAUGUCCUGGUUCAUUGUACAUGACAACUAUAUCGAUGGUAUCAUCCCGUCAGAGAUGUUUUCAAACUUGACUAAUCUUGCGGUAUUCGAUGUUGCCAAAAACUUGUUAGCUGGAAGCAUCCCAUCGCAGAUUGGUAACUGUAAAGAGAUAAUCACUCUCCUCCUCUCAAACAACAACUUUACUGGUUCCAUCCCAGUAGAGAUGGGCAGCUUGCCGAACUUGCAGUUUUUGGUCAUGUCAAAGAAUCACUUUACUGGAGUGAUACCAUCUCAUAUCGGCAAUGCAACAUCUUUGAAAUUCCUUGCCAUCAGAUCCAACCACCUUGACGGAGAGCUUCCUGCAACCAUGUCUGCAUUGAUAAAUCUUGUUGCUCUCAUCUUGUCUGGCAACAAGUUUACGGGUAUCAUUCCUAAUAUUGACAACAGGCAGUUGCCGUCUGCCAAGGUGGCAAAAGAUAAAAACGACAACAGCUUCAUGGGAGAAUUGCCAUCUGCCUUUUGUCAGUUACCACUUCUGCAACUCUUGGAUCUAUCAAACAAUCAGUUGUCUGGUGAGCUUCCUGGUUGCUUUUGGUACUUGAAAGAUUUGCAAUCCUUAGAUUUAUCGAGCAAUGCUUUUGCUGGUGAAAUUCCAACCUCAAGUUGCUGUAAUUCUUCACUAAGGUCCCUGCACCUGUCAGACAACAACUUUACAGGUUGCUUUCCAGCUGUGUUGAAGAACUUCAGACGCCUUGUUAUUUUGGAUCUCGGGAACAAUAAUAUUUCUGGUGUAAUUCCUCCAUGGAUAGGGCAAAGCAAUCCUUUGCUGAGGAUUCUCGGACUGCGAUCAAACAUGUUCUAUGGAAGUAUUCCCUGGCAGCUAUCACAACUCUCCCAUCUCCAACUGCUUGAUCUAGCUGAGAAUAAUUUUAUAGGUUCCAUACCAGAAAGUUUCGCCAACUUAUGCUUCAUGAGGCAGGCACCCACGAUGCAGCCAGGUAUAACAAUCGUCCUACAAUAUGCCACCUUUGGAUAUAUAUACAGUGGCACUAUGGUUGUAAUUUGGAAAGGACAGGAUUACAUUUUCCGGGGAAGAGAUGCAUUUGUGACAGGUAUUGAUCUCUCUGCCAAUUCUCUUUUUGGUGCUAUACCUCCGGAGCUGACAAAUCUUAGAGGCAUCCAGUUAAUAAAUAUGUCAAGAAAUUGUCUAUCUGGUAGUAUCCCAAAGGAUAUUGGCAGCCUAAAGUUUUUAGAAUCUCUUGACCUCUCUUGGAACAAGAUAUCAGGUCCUAUUCCUCCUAGCAUAUCAAACCUGAUAUUCCUCAGCUCCCUUAAUCUUUCGAGCAAUCUUCUGUCAGGAGGGAUACCUACAGGGAAUCAACUCCAAACAUUGGAUGACCCGUCAAUUUAUAGCAAUAACCUGGGACUUUGUGGCUCUGUAUUGAACAUUUCAUGUAAACAUGGUUCAAGUCCGACGACCACAUCAGAUGUGGGAAAGGAACAUCAUGAUGAACUUGAAACCAUGUGGAUGUACUGCUCAGUGAUCGCUGGAACAAUAUUUGGUUUCUGGAUAUGGUUUGGCACAUUGUUUUUCUGGAAGCCCUGGAGAUGUGCUUUCUUGAGUUGCAUAGAUGCCAUGCAACAGAAAGUUAUGAGGAAGAUGAAGCAUAUCCGAGGUAUAGAAAGUUGUCCAAGUAUUGAAUGA